rnacentral:sRNA from 1 species
AUCUGCCAUAGAAUAUUCUUCUGAAGUAACUUCUGAGCAUGUUCCCAUUCACCACAGCAAGCCAAGUUUUCUAGAAAGCCUCACUGUGCAUUGGCUGAGGCAGAAAACUUCUAAUGGAUACAGCAGAAAACUUCUAAUGAAUAAUAUGACUCUCUACUCUGGACUAUAGAAGUAAGCAUCGAUUCCAUUUGAAUUCUCACUUAGUGGAGCAUCAUAUUUUUAAUGCUAAAAUUUCAUUAAAAUGUAAGGGAAAUUCAGUCCA